rnacentral:rRNA from 1 species
AUGGUAAAGCAAAGAGAUAAACCAGUACAUCUAGAAGGUUUGGAACCGAAAGAAUAUUGGACCCUUUUUCUAGCAUGUGUUUUUGGUGACACUAAUCAACGAAAUAAUGAUGACAACUUAAUUGAAAUCGGGGAAAAAAUUGUGGAAAAAUUGAAGGGUUCUCCUCUUGCAGCAAAAACCGUGGGUAGAUUGCUGAGAAAUAACAUAUCUGUAGAUCACUGGACAAGAGUUCUUGAAAGCAAAGAAUGGGAAUCACAGACCAAUGAGCACGAUAUUAUGCCUGCAUUGAAAGUUAGCUAUGACUACCUACCUUUUCACCUGCAACAAUGCUUUUCCCCAUGUGCAUUAUUUCCGGAAGAUUACAAGUUUGAUAGUGAGGAGCUGAUUCACUUUUGGAUAGGACUUGACAUUAUACAUCCAGAUAAUAGAAUCAAAAGAAUUGAAGAUAUUGGGCGGAACAACUUGAAUGACUUAGUUAAUUAUGGAUUUUUCAAAAUAGGAACAGGUGAUUCAGGUAAACACUAUGUUAUUCAUGACCUGCUGCAUGAUUUAGCAUUGAAGGUUUCCUCACAAGAGUGUCUACAUAUAUCUUCCUCUAGCCCAAGAGCUGUAGAAAUUGCACCAUCUGUUUACCACUUGUCCAUUAGUAUGAGUGAUCCAUCCAAUAGUGAGGAUGGAAUUGUCAAAGAAAAUUUUAUGAAAGAACUGAAUAAAACAAGAAAGAUACUGAAAACUGAGAACCUACGCACUUUGAUGUUGUUUGGAGAUUACAAUGCAAGCUUUGUUCGCAUAUUCAGUGAUCUAUUCAAAGAUGCAAAAUCUUUGCGUGUUGUCUAUUUGUCAACAAUGUUCUACCAUGUGGAAUUUCUAUUGCACAACUUUUCGGAUCUUGUCCAUCUCCGCUACCUACGGCUUGUGUCAAAGUAUUAUAGUAAAAAACAGGUACCAAAGAGUAUACCAAGAUUUUAUCAGUUAAGGGUGCUAGACAUAAGUGACUGGGAGGGUGUUCAUAGUUUGCACGAAGAAAUGGGUAACCUUGUAAAAUUGCGCCAUUUCCUUGUCCCAUCGUAUGAAUUCCAUUCGAAUAUUUGUAAUGUGGGAAAACUAGAGAACUUACAAGAGCUAAAGAGAUUUAAAAUUAAGCAAGAAAGUAAUGGGUUUGAAUUAAUGGAGCUGGGGAAACUAGAAGAGAUAGGAGGAUCACUUCACAUUUGCAAUCUUGAAAAUGCACUAGCAAAUGAAGCGCAUGAGGCAAAACUCUUACGCAAAAACUGCUUGCAGCGAUUAACACUCAGUUGGAAGAAAGGCCGGUCAAAUACGAGUCCUGACGAAGAAGAUCAAUUACUUGAGAGGCUACGGCCACAUAGCAAUCUUCAUGAGCUAUGCAUUGAUGGGCAUGGAGGCUCUACUUGCCCUACAUGGCUGGGCAAAAAUCUGUUGACCAAAGGUCUGGAGGCUCUCUGCCUAGACAGCGUAGCUUGGAAACACCUUCCACCCCUUGGAGAGUUAUAUGUGAUUGGUCAAUCUGUAGAAGAGCGUGAGUCUGGAGAAGAGUUUUCCAGUUGCAUCACAGGCCCAUGCUUUCGUAACUUAAAAAGGCUAGAACUAAUUGGGUUGCCAAGAUUAAGAAGAUGGGUAGCAAAUGAAGUUUGCCCUUGGUACUUCUCACUUAUAGAGGUACUCAUUGUGAAGGAUUGCCCUGAACUAACUGAGUUACCAUUUUCAUCUUAUACUAGUUGUUACCCCUUGGAAACAGAUUCAUGUGUGACUUGGUUUCCUAGGCUAAAUGAGCUUAAAAUUGAGGAUUGCCGAAACCUGUUGUCACUGCCUCCUAUUCCUUAUAGUGACGCUUUGUGCUCUGUUACACUGACACGUGUGGGAAGAGGUCUGGAGGAGUUACGUUAUUCAAGCAAAACAUAUCACUCUUUGAGCAUAGAAGGAAAUGGUGAUAUGCAUAGCUUAGAUGAAACGGUUUUGGCAUUCCAUAAUUUAACCCAACUACAAAUACUGUGUAUCAAAAAUUGCCCACCUCUGGCUGAAAAACACCUUCAAAUGCUAACCAUGUUGGAGACCCUGGAAAUAAAUGGUUCUAGCAAUUUAUUCCUGCCGUUAGCAAGAAGUGACACCAUAUGGCAGCUUCCAGUUACCAGUUUAAAAUUAUGGAGGUGCAAUUUUAGUGGGAAGGAAGUGACAUGCCUACUCACUCAUCUCCCUGAGCUCUUGGCUUGA